CCAGGUAGUCUUAGCGAUUAAAAUGGAAGCUAAAGCAACUCCAGGCCUGCCCUUGUAGCCAAAUAACGAGGUGCCUAAGGGGUUGGAACACUCAGGGGCUUCCAGAAAAAUGCCAGCCUUGCCUUUCUGGGGUGCCUUAUAAUAACCUCCAAGCACUUUAUGGGCUGUUUGUCAAGGGACGGUCAAUCAGGAGAAUCACGGAUUUAUUCUUUCUGAACCUCAGAAGAAAAGGGAGUCACUGAUGAGCUGUGUAACUUUGGGCAAGUUACUUUACCUCUCCAUGCCCCAGUUUUUUUCCUUGGGUAAUUGGAUUUGGAUUAGAUGUUCUUUUAAGACUUCUUGUUUGACAUUUUAUGAUCUAUGCAUGGCAGAGUGUAGGUUAGAAGCCACACUCUCCAACUUAGUGCUGCAGUUCAGGACUAGCACCCUAAGCGUCUGGUUGGGGCUGAGAUGGGUCUUCUAGUUUUGGGCACCGAUGUUCCAGAAUCCAGGAAGCAUUCCAUAAUCAGUCUGCAGUCUCAGGGUUUUCCAGAGCCUUUUCCAAACCACGGCUUAUCCUCUGCCCCAUUUUGCUCUUGUCCCCACAGACUUCCAGCUUUGGUGCUCGAGACAACUUUGGGAAGGUGCAUCUCUGUGGGGGAAAAUGAUGCUCGAGAACCCCAGAGAUGAAAGGAAACAAAGUUAGGGCUCUCUUGAGGAUAAAAUAUUAUAGGUGUAAGGAAUAGUAAACAUUUCAAAUCAAGAAUUAAAAUGGCCAGGCGCCGUGGCUCACAUCUGUAAUCUCAGCACUUUAGGAGCGUUGCUUGAUGCCAGGAGUUCAAAACCAGCCUGGGCAACAUAACAAGACCUUGUCUCUCAAAAAAAUUAAAAGAAAGAAAGCAACUUGAAUAUUAAAUGGCACCAGAAGACAGCAGUCUGCUCCAUAACCUGAGCAAGUGAACUGGGGAAAGCGAGACCCAUUCACAUUCAUGCCUUAUGUCUCUCCUCCUUGUUAGCCUUGACACCAGAGGGCAUUCCUUCUCUGCUUGCUUGUUUUUUUCCUCCUCUUACCCUAUUCCUAACCUCUUGCUUUUAUCUUCCUCUCCUUGUCCCUCCUUCUCAUCACUUUUUUCUUUUAACAUGUAGGGUAUUUACCUUCACUUGUCUAUUUCCAUGUUCCUCCCUCUUCAUCCUUGUUGAUCUCUGCUAUUCCUUCUCCCUCCAGAAGGGGUGGAGAACCUUCUUCCUUUUCUCCAAGACCAUGGUUGAUCCAUCUUCCUCCCUCAGGCUCCUUCUUGACAGUCUUCUAGAAAGGAGAAGAGGGAAAAGAAGCAAUUCCUGAUUUGAUUCUACAGAUGAACAAGGAGUUCCCAGCCUUCACCCUUUGAAGAAGGAUAAAUGAAAAAGAGGAACCCCCAGGUCAUUUUUCAGAUGCUCGUUUAAACACUAACCUUAUGUUAUGAAGAAAACAGGAAGAAUUUAAUGCAUCUUGUGGAUCACCUUCAGGUCAAAGUUCCAGCAAAGUGAAGAAAGACUUGGUAUCAGAAGCCACCACAGAAUGUACUGUUUAGUCACCAAUUAGGACCCCAAGAGAGGAUAAGGGAUGAGAGGGAGAUUGCAUCAAGGCUCAGUGUGUAAUAAUCUCUUGCCUAAUGUGUAUAUGUUACCGCUAUGUUGUAUUAAUGGUGAUAGCUCGCAUUUUCUUAACACGUAUCGCUAAAAUCUGUUUGUUUGUUUUCCCAAAACUUAGGGCUCUAGAUCAUAAAAUCUGUUUUGCAUGCAUGCUCAGAACAACCCUGUGAAUUGAACAUUAUCAUUGUCUCUGUUUUAGAGAUAAGGAGAUGGGUUCAGAGAAGCUCAGUCAUUUGUUCAAGAUCACACAGUUAGUAAAUGGCAGAGCUAGGGUUGGGAACCUAGGAAAUCUCCAGAGCCUUUGUGUGUAACCAUGUUACAUUCUUUCCCUUUAAAAACAAAAUUAAAAACCUUGCUUAUGUAUCAUCUCUUAUUAGGAAAAAGACCAUAGUUUCUGACUGUGCUCUGCCUUCCCAUCCUUGCAGUCUCCCUGACUGACUAGGAGAAGGCAAGGGACCCCAAGCUUCAUCUGUGACUUGCAGGAGCUUGCUGCUGUCUCAUGUGCCAGUGUCCCAGCUGUGGAGGAUCAGCAAAGGACCACCCCACCUACCUGCUAGAGAACUUGGGAACCUAUUUAAACUCUAACCUUUUCAUACAUUGGAAUUCUCUCCUAGCUCUAGCCAACCCUUCACAUCUGUUGGUGUGUAACCUCCCUCCCUCUUCCAACUAGUUUCCACUAGGAGGGUUCCCAGUGAGGACAACUGCUAGAUGGUCUGUGCUUGGGCCCUUUCUAAGAGCCCUGGCGUGACAGGGUAAAUGCAAACUCUGAUUGGGGAGAAGAAACUAUUGAUAGUCCUCUGUGAUAAAUACCUUGGCUCACCCAUACCUCCAUUCUCAGCUUUAUAGGACAAUCCACAUGAGUCUUCUCAUUCCUCCCUUAUGGAGCUGCCUCAGGACCUGGGGUAAGCUGAUAAGUUUCCCUCAUUGCUCCAAGACUGGGCCUGGACUGAGCCGCUGCCUUGCACACAUAAAUAACGCAUGCCCCACUCUUUGAACCUGGACUUACACAACUGUCAGUGCCACUGAGCUUUGUAAAAUAGGGGAGAAACGAAUAUUUCUUGAGAGACUUCUGUGUGCCUGGUCCUUUUGAGAUUCUCUGGAGGGAUUCCCUGCUCUGAUGCCUUUGGUGUGCACUCUUCUUCCAGGACAUGAGCACUGAGAGUCUUCUCACCCCCUGGCUUUUCCCUCACCUUGGGUUGAGCUGGUACAGCGUUACCACACACCCCACCUUCUGCACAUCCACCAAGAUUAGGCAGCAUGCUCUUUCCUUCCUAUGCUGCUCUUUCCAAAACUCCCAUCCAUAUUUCUUACAGCCUCAGUAAGCAGAGCAGAGUUGACCUAGACAGCUGCAACCACUGGUUUCUCCUAGUUGGUUCAGUCUUAUCUGACAUGGGACACACUAGGAGUUUGACAGAAUCUUUAGGAAUUCUGUUACAUGUAUGUGUAAGGCAUUGUGAUGGAAACGUUUCUCUAAAGUCUGAUGACUGUAUGAACAGGAGCAGUUUGGGGUAUAACAUGUCAACCAUGAACUGGGAAGUGCCAUAAGAGAAAAACACUGCCAUGGUCAUGGGCUUGGGUCCUUGAGGCAACCUAGCAGGAACACGGUCCUCUUAUCUCGUCUAGACCUUGGAUGUCCUCCUAUACCUACCUGUCUCAUAGGUUUCCCCCUGUUCUCUUGUUUUUCUUUAUGAAUGUAGCCCCUCAUUUCAUUUUAAGCCCUAACUUCUCAAUUUUCCAAUCUAAUGUCCACAUUCCCUUGCUUCUAACUCAUGUGUUUUUUCUGGAGCUUGUUUGGAUCCCUGCAGUUUACACACACACACACAUAUGAAUCAGAGACCUGAAAAGUCUUGUCUUUAGGAAUGCUGGGUUCAGGAUUUUCUACAGAGACACAGUUCCAGAGAUGAGAAGUGACCAUCAGGGUCAGAGAAUUUGCUAGUGUAGCUCACCAUGGGGCUUAAACCCAGGCUUUCUGACUACAUCCCAUUUCCAAGCAAAGAAACAGGUCUCGACACAGACCCCUGGUUUUUCAUGGCAAGGGAUAAUAUCAGAAAUGUUUCAUUUUCUGCUACUAGUUUCCAUUCCCUUUCUCAUCCAGGCAUCAAGAGAAACAAAAGGGACUGAUGGUGUUCUCUGUGUUUUGGCGCUUCUUUUUUGUUGAUGCUGCUAAAGAACAGUGACUUUUGCUUAAAAGACCUAAUAAUCUACCCAUUGAAUAGCUAACCUGGGAAGGAAACAAAAAGUUCCUUUUUGAACCGCCCCCCCCUCCCCAGCAAUGUUCUCAGCAGUCCUCCCAAGACCUCUCCAAUUCCUUCACAGUGCAACCCUGUGCACUGGGCCCCAAACCCACUAGUAUUGUGCCUCACUUCAGCUUUCUCAUGCAGCUGCUCUCUCUUCUGGAUACAAAACCUCAUGUUUGAAAUAAAGUUGAAAUAUGAAAAGAAAGUAUAACA